GGGGGUGUAGCUCAGUGGCAGAGCGUGUGCUUUGCAUGCACAAGGCCCUGGGUUCGAUUCCUAGCACCUCCA